rnacentral:rRNA from 1 species
AUUGAACGCUGGCGGCAGGCCUAACACAUGCAAGUCGAACGAGUGGCGGACGGGUGAGUAAUGUCUGGGAAACUGCCCGAUGGAGGGGGAUAACUACUGGAAACGGUAGCUAAUACCGCAUACCAUCGGAUGUGCCCAGAUGGAAUUAGCUAUUAGGUGGGGUAACGGCGCACCUAGGCGACGAUCCCCAGCUGGUCUGAGAGGAUGACCAGCCACACGGGAACUGGGACAAGGGCCAGACUCAUACGGGAGGCAGCAGUGGGGAAAAUUGCACAAUGGGCGAAAGCCUGAUGCAGCCAUGCCGCGUGUAUGAAGAAGGCCUUCGGGUUAUAAAAUAAUUUCAGCGAGGAGGCGUUACUCGCAGAAGAAGCACCGGCUAACUCCGUGCCAGCAGCCGCGGUAAUUC